rnacentral:rRNA from 1 species
CUUAACUGACGCUAAAGCUCGAAAGUGCGGGUAUCGAACAGGAUUAGAUACCCUGGUAGUCCGCACGGUAAACGAUGGAUGCCCGCUGUUGGCGAUACAAUGUCAGCGGCCAAGCGAAAGCGUUAAGCAUCCCACCUGGGGAGUACGCCGGCAACGGUGAAACUCAAAGGAAUUGACGGGGGCCCGCACAAGCGGAGGAACAUGUGGUUUAAUUCGAUGAUACGCGAGGAACCUUACCCGGGCUUGAACUGCAGCUGAACGAUCCAGAGAUGGUGAGGCCCUUCGGGGCAGCUGUGGAGGUGCUGCAUGGUUGUCGUCAGCUCGUGCCGUGAGGUGUCGGCUUAAGUGCCAUAACGAGCGCAACCCUUUUCAUUAGUUGCCAUCAGGUUAUGCUGGGCACUCUGGUGAUACUGCCACCGUAAGGUGUGAGGAAGGUGGGGAUGACGUCAAAUCAGCACGGCCCUUACGUCCGGGGCUACACACGUGUUACAAUGGGUGGUACAGAGAGUUGGUCGUUUGCAAAUGCGAUCUAAUCCUUAAAGCCAUCCUCAGUUCGGAUUGGGGUCUGCAACCCGACCCCAUGAAGCUGGAUUCGCUAGU